UGGCCUUGACAUAGGAAGAACUUACUAGAGAUAGUUUGGUGCUAGUUUACUAGAGCUUUCAUAC
rnacentral:rRNA from 1 species